rnacentral:rRNA from 1 species
UACGAGGGGGGCGAGCGUUGUUCGGAAUUACUGGGCGUAAAGGGCGCGUAGGCGGCCUUCUAAGUCGAACGUGAAAUCCCCGGGCUCAACCCGGGAACUGCGUCCGAUACUGGAAGGCUUGAAUCCGGGAGAGGGAUGCGGAAUUCCAGGUGUAGCGGUGAAAUGCGUAGAUAUCUGGAGGAACACCGGUGGCGAAGGCGGCAUCCUGGACCGGUAUUGACGCUGAGGCGCGAAAGCCAGGGGAGCAAACGGG